rnacentral:tRNA from 1 species
GGAGGGUUCGCAUAGUGGCCGAGUGCAUGCGCCUUGAAAGCGCACGACGGGUGACCGUCCGUGGGUUCGAAUCCCACACCCUCCG